rnacentral:lncRNA from 1 species
CACGGCUGGACAGAGCAGGAGAGCGUCCCAAGAUAUUAAGUGCUCUCAGGUUUUGUGGAAAUCAGUAGCUGGGCAGAGUGAGAAAAUCAAGAGCCACUUCAUGACCCCACUGAACAGUUCUGCAGAAGAGACCUCAUGGUGAGCUCAUCAGUGUCACCCUUCUUCCCAGGAAGACUGUCCUCCACCCUUAAACUAAGUUACCUCCUGGACACAAGGACUCUGCAGACUGCAUCAGAUUAG